GUCGAACGGUAACAUUUCUAGCUUGCUAGAAGAUGACGAGUGGCGGACGGGUGAGUAAUGCUUGGGAACUUGCCUUUGCGAGGGGGAUAACAGUUGGAAACGACUGCUAAUACCGCAUAAUGUCUACGGACCAAACGGGGCUUCGGCUCCGGCGCAAAGAGAGGCCCAAGUGAGAUUAGCUAGUUGGUAAGGUAACGGCUUACCAAGGCGACGAUCUCUAGCUGUUCUGAGAGGAAGAUCAGCCACACUGGGACUGAGACACGGCCCAGACUCCUACGGGAGGCAGCAGUGGGGAAUAUUGCACAAUGGGGGAAACCCUGAUGCAGCCAUGCCGCGUGUGUGAAGAAGGCCUUCGGGUUGUAAAGCACUUUCAGUUGUGAGGGAAAGUUAGUAGUUAAUACCUGCUAGCCGUGACGUUAACAACAGAAGAAGCACCGGCUAACUCCGUGCCAGCAGCCGCGGUAAUACGGAGGGUGCGAGCGUUAAUCGGAAUUACUGGGCGUAAAGCGCACGCAGGCGGUUUGUUAAGCUAGAUGUGAAAGCCCCGGGCUCAACCUGGGAUGGUCAUUUAGAACUGGCAGACUAGAGUCUUGGAGAGGGGAGUGGAAUUCCAGGUGUAGCGGUGAAAUGCGUAGAUAUCUGGAGGAACAUCAGUGGCGAAGGCGACUCC
rnacentral:rRNA from 1 species